rnacentral:rRNA from 1 species
UGGGGAAUUUUGCGCAAUGGGCGAAAGCCUGACGCAGCAACGCCGCGUGAGUGAUGAAGGCUUUCGGGUCGUAAAGCUCUGUCAAUGGGAAAGAAGUGUAUUGAGGCUAAUAUCCUUGAUACUUGACGGUACCCAUAAAGGAAGCACCGGCUAACUCCGUGCCAGCAGCCGCGGUAAUACGGGGGGUGCAAGCGUUGUUCGGAAUUAUUGGGCGUAAAGCGCGUGUAGGCGGUUUGAUCAGUCUGAUGUGAAAGCCCCGGGCUCAACCCGGGAAGUGCAUUGGAUACUGUCAGACUUGAAUACGGGAGAGGGUAGUGGAAUUCCUAGUGUAGGAGUGAAAUCCGUAGAUAUUAGGAGGAACACCGGUGGCGAAGGCGGCUGCCUGGACCGAUAUUGACGCUGAGACGCGAAAGCGUGGGUAGCAAACA